ensembl:miRNA MIR147B microRNA 147b
ACUCUAUGAAUCUAGUGGAAUCAUUUCUGCACAAACUCGACUUUUGAAAUCAGUGUGCGGAAAUGCUUCUGCUACAUUUUUAGGG